rnacentral:rRNA from 1 species
CCCUUAGAUGUUCUGGGCCGCACGCGCGCUACACUGACGAUGGCAACGAGUUUUUCCUUCGCCGAAAGGUGUGGGUAAUCUUUUGAAACAUCGUCGUGCUGGGGAUAGAUCAUUGCAAUUUUUGAUCUUGAACGAGGAAUUCCUAGUAAGCGCGAGUCAUCAGCUCGCGUUGAUUACGUCCCUGCCCUUUGUACACACCGCCUGUCGCUACUACCGAUUGAAUGGUUUAGUGAGGACUCCUGAUUGGCGCCGCCGCCCCGGCAACGGAGCAGCGGACUGCCGAAAAGUUGUUCAAACUUGAUCAUUUAGAGGAAGUAAAAGUCGUAACA